AGACCGAGGUGCUCAAGCAUCACUCUCGUAGACAUGGACUAUUUAUUGAAACACAUAUACAUCAAAUUAGUGGAAUUCCUCAAAAAUGGUCCGCAUUAAGAAUUGUAAGUGCACUUGAAUUUUUCGAUGCCUUUCAUAUUUUUGUUUAUGUAAUAAAUACUAGGAGUACAUAACACAUUCCUGAAAUUUAUAGAAAGAACUUCAACAUGAAGCAGGAAAGCACCCUGAAUUAGUGGAGAAUGGUAUUAAGGAUGGUGAUUUGUUUACAUUUAUUUGUGGAAAACAAAAAAUGGAUAUGUUCGUGCUAUAGGAUUGGGACCAACUCCAUCUAAACAAGAGUUUCCUAGAACCAAGCAGUAUGAAUCAACAAAGCUUCAAAUGGCAAUGGAAGCAUGUCGCGUAUCUAACCAAAAAGUGGAACAUCUGCAAGAACAAAUGGACGACACGAAGAAGAUAAUGGUAGAAAUGGGUGACAUGAAGAAGCAAAUGGCUGAAAUGAGGGAAGUUCUUUUUUCUUCAUAGGGGAAACGAGAUGAAACCAAUAGCAUACCUACAAUAGGACAACAGGUCAUAAGGACAAGAUAAACUAGUAAUACUGAAGAAGGUAAUGAUAUUCUGGAGGACAUGGCUGAGUUAAUCUCACUGUGGUCAUCAGGACAAGAUAAACUAGUAAUACUGGAAAGUUGUUAAAGCAUAGAAACAUGACACGCAAAAGGGGGUGGAAGAGAUGUCAUACUAUAUAGCAUGACUAGACCUUUAAGUGUCGUUGUUGCCAAAGGAACAAUUCAAACAACUAAUACAAAGGUCGUGGUGUGGGCGAGCCUCUAGGUUCUCAAUUUGUUGAAAUUGUCAUAUAUUGGGUGUUCAAAAUGGAAACUGGCUUGCCUCGUGCAUAUGGAGACAUGUUUACCAUGGCAGAUGGUAAGGGGAAAUCAAUUGCGUGUCCAUAUGCUAUGGUAAGAAUCCACAACACUUGCUUUGUUUUAUUUUCUGAUAAUUGUUCACCUAUUGUCCAUGGGAGAUGCUAACUAACUAUUACUGUUGUAGAUCAAAGAUGCACAAAAGGUAACGAAUGUGCCACGAGGUGCACGUAAUAUGACAUACUCCAUACAUCAAGUUUACUACAAUCCAUUCUUUUUAUGUGAUGUGAUGAAAUUGGUGUGAUUGGAAUUAGUGGAAUGUUGGCUACA